UUAACAGAUAAUAAAUAUCAGAAUGAAAUAAAUGAAAAACAGCUUAGAAAAAAUGAAAAUAUUAACAAUUUGAAAAAAUAAAAUCAACAAACCUUCAGGCAGACUUAGUUAAGAGACAACACUGAAAAAUCACAGGUGAAAAGUGGAGAGAUUACAAGUAUUAGAAAUGGAAAUAACAGGAUCAUUAGAGACCAUUAUGUGCCAACAAACCAGAUAAGCUGGAAGAAAUAGAUAAAUUCUAAUGCACAUGUAAUCUACCAAUAUUGAAUUAUGAAGAAAUAAGCAUUGAAUCAAUAAUAAAAUAUUUUCAUCAAUGAAAAGCCCAGGCCUGAUGGCUUCACUGCUGAAUUCCACUAAACAUUUUUUUAAAUCUUUUUAUUGGUUGUUCAAAACAUUACAAAACUCUUGACAUCUCAUAUUUCAUACAUUAGAUUCAAGUGGGUUAUGAACUCCCAUUUUUA
rnacentral:lncRNA from 1 species